rnacentral:lncRNA from 1 species
GGCCGACCUCAAUUAAUUCAAGGAAAUUUAAUCAGCCUUGAAGAGUUCAAAUAAAAUAGAACUCUUUUAGGCUGAAGCUGUUUUUAUGCAACGGGAUCAGCUAGGAUAAAUGGGGAUAGGAUCGAAUUAUUUUUGAUUUUUGCUGGAGGCCGUUAAUUUUUCCAUUAAAAGAGGCAGUCAGCGGCUUUAAAAGGGGAGUCGAACAGCAGAGGGGCGUCACAAUUGAGCAGGAAAAUUCUCUAAUUAAACCAGCCAAAGUCGGUUAACCAGCAGGAGUAGCAGCUUGAAGAUUUCAGCUAAGCGAAAGGAAGGAAGCUCGACGUUUUCUUUUCAAAAAUUCAGUUUGUAAUUCAUGUUGUCUCCAAUUGACUUUGGUUUUGUUUUAUUUGCUAUGAGUGGCAGAAUAAUUAAGCUUAGUUAGACACUUAUGAAACCUAGCAUAAGGAAUUUGAAGGUUAUUUAGUUUAAAUUCGGAUUUGGCAUUCUUGAGUUGCUAAUUUUAUCGUUCGAAG